rnacentral:piRNA from 1 species
GUCAUAAGGUGGUGGCUUUUGAGUCAUAGGU